CCUACGGGGAGCAGCAGUCGAGAAUCAUUCACAAUGGGGGAAACCCUGAUGGUGCGACGCCGCGUGGGGGAAUGAAGGUCUUCGGAUUGUAAACCCCUGUCAUGUGGGAGCAAAUUAAAAAGAUAGUACCACAAGAGGAAGAGACGGCUAACUCUGUGCCAGCAGCCGCGGUAAUACAGAGGUCUCAAGCGUUGUUCGGAAUCACUGGGCGUAAAGGGUGCGUAGGCUGUUUCGUAAGUCGUGUGUGAAAGGCGCGGGCUCAACCCGCGGACGGCACAUGAUACUGCGAGACUAGAGUAAUGGAGGGGGAACCGGAAUUCUCGGUGUAGCAGUGAAAUGCGUAGAUAUCGAGAGGAACACUCGUGGCGAAGGCGGGUUCCUGGACAUUAACUGACGCUGAGGCACGAAGGCCAGGGGAGCGAAAGGGAUUAGAUACCCUGGUAGUC
rnacentral:rRNA from 1 species